rnacentral:rRNA from 1 species
CACGGGGGGAGCAAGCGUUGUUCGGAAUCACUAGGCGUAAAGGGCGUGUAGGCGGUUAGGUAAGUGGAACGUGAAAUCCCUCGGCUCACCCGAGGACCUGCGUCCCAAACUGCCUAGCUUGAGUAUGGGAGAGGAUGAGGGAAUUCCAGGUGUAGCGGUGAAAUGCGUAGAUAUCAGGAAGAACACCGAUGGCGAAGGCAGCUCUCUGGGACGGUACUGACGCUGAGACGCGAAAGCGUGGGGAGCGAACAGG